CGCGUGUGCUCGAACCGCCACGGCCUGAUCCGCAAGUACGGGCUGAACAUGUGCCGGCAGUGCUUCCGCCAGUACGCCAAGGACAUCGGCUUCAUCAAGUUGGACUAAGCGCUUUUCAAGAAGAUGAGAUGUCGCAGGGAGACUUCUGGACAUAAUUCUCUGCCUAAUUUGGAUAACCGGCGCACUAAAUUUACAAAGUCUUUGCCAUGCUAUUUUGUGUAUAAAAUAAAAUGGCUUAACAGUCAA